rnacentral:lncRNA from 1 species
CCCCCACACCCCUCCCCACGCCUGUCCAUGGGAAGCACAGGAAGAGGACAACGAGGCCCUACCUAGAGGGAGCUGCAUUUGGCCUCGGUGGGGUAUGAGCUCUGGACCCAGAACAUAAAGACUCUUCCUCUUUCAGCCACCCCAUCCUGGGAGUGACAGGAGAACUGCCAGUCAAGGGAGGCAAAAAGGGACAGAGUGAGAGAGAAGCAAGAAGGCAGAAUGCAAAGGGAGAGGACUUAAAGUAAAAAGCAAGCCAAGCCACCUCAUAGUUGAUAUUUUGGAAG